UAGGGAAUCUUCGGCAAUGGACGAAAGUCUGACUGAGCAACGCCGCGUGAGUGAAGAAGGUUUUCGGAUCGUAAAACUCUGUUGUUAGAGAAGAACAAGGACGUUAGUAACUGAACGUCCCCUGACGGUAUCUAACCAGAAAGCCACGGCUAACUACGUGCCAGCAGCCGCGGUAAUACGUAGGUGGCAAGCGUUGUCCGGAUUUAUUGGGCGUAAAGCGAGCGCAGGCGGUUUCUUAAGUCUGAUGUGAAAGCCCCCGGCUCAACCGGGGAGGGUCAUUGGAAACUGGGAGACUUGAGUGCAGAAGAGGAGAGUGGAAUUCCAUGUGUAGCAGUGAAAUGCGUAGAUAUAUGGAGGAACACCAGUGGCGAAGGCGGCUCUCUGGUCUGUAACUGACGCUGAGGCUCGAAAGCGUGGGGAGCAAACAGG
rnacentral:rRNA from 1 species